GGUUAAGCGACUAAGCGUACACGGUGGAUGCCCUGGCAGUCAGAGGCGAUGAAGGACGUGCUAAUCUGCGAUAAGCGUCGGUGAGGUGAUAUGAACCGUUAUAACCGGCGAUUUCCGAAUGGGGAAACCCAGUGUGUUUCGACACACUAUCAUUAACUGAAUCCAUAGGUUAA
rnacentral:rRNA from 1 species